AUUUCCAGAUUAAAUUUUACUAAACUUCCCAGUUUAACUCAGCCGAAAUGCUGGCUGGAUCUAAUUCGUAUUCCGGCUCCGGUGACACAACCGAUUCAAGUUAGAAUGUUUAAGGGGUAUCAUUUCGAUGCGGCUUAGCCGCAUAACCGAGGUCCGGACGAGGUGGCCACCGACCCGCCGUCGGAAGCAAGCGAACCUGUGAUCCACUCGUUUGCCCGGCUUACUCAAACAUAGGGGCUAUCCCUAGUUUAGGUCCGACUGAGCGGUAGCGAAGUCGGACAGCACGCGCAAAAGCGAUGUGGCGUAGCCACAUUGGGUGCUGGGCACAAAAUAAAAUUGGUAACGCUAGCAAAAGGUAAACACAAAUGAACACUCCGGAUGAACCUAUCGUCAAUUGACAUUUCGACGAGUUUUGAUUCGGGCCAAUAAUAUGGGCCCGAAAUAAGGACAGCAAAUAAAAAUUACCUACUGGUAGGUAAUGGAUUUUAAGUGUGUAGUUUUUUCAAACAGCAACCGCUUCACUUGGUUACGCUUUGUUGUGGCGAUAAUAGAAACAUGGAAAAACGAAAUAAUUUUCUCCUUGAAUCGUUGAACGAUGUUCUCCAAGAUUUUCUAAAGUUGAUGAUCUACUGCGCCGAGGAUGUGAAGGUCAUCAUGCAGGACCUAGAGCCGAUUUAACCGCUUAAAAAUAGGCAGCGCUUAACUGCAGCUCAGCAGACCUUGAACCCGAUACAUACAGAAAUCGAGUUGAGCCUAAAAAAUCUGGACAUCUUGGCGAAACAUUUACUUACUCAGAGUGCGGAUGCGGCCUACCGGUUGAUGCAUGAUCAGCAGUGCCGUCGAGAUCUGCGGAGGAGUUGGUAUCGAUCAGACUGGAAAUGCCCGCGGAAGAAAGCUCCGUUGCACUGGUUGCUUGUGGAAAGAUGCGUUAGCGUUUAGAAGGGCACUGACACGAGGUAUAACAUGAAUCUGGAAGAUUGUGCUAUUUGUUGAAGCUUCUUCAUAAGGAUGGUUCAUCGAAUAGGCUUGGAAAGACUUUUAGAAAAAAUGGUCAUUGCCUGGCCUGUGCAGCUAAGAUGGCAAGGAUAUUGUCUUUGUAGAGACAGACAGAAUUUCUGGCCAGCUUGUGGUUCGAUUAGGAAAUGAGAAUUUUUCGAAGAAUUUGAGGAAAGACAAGAGAAUAUGGCGCAAUAAUUUUAUUGGUUGUGGUGGCUGAUGUGUGAAGCGAUGAAAUCGACCUGAAUGCUGGCGAGGAUUUCUUGAUUUCUAUUACCAUCGAAACCAAAACAAAAUCUAAGUUCAUAUAAAUACGUGGUAUGUUACAAAGGUUUGUCCGAAUGAAAAAUUUCCGAAAUAGAUUGAUCCUACAAAACUUAACUGUCGUAUGUGGUCAUGAGAUUGCAAUGAACAUCAACCUCAAGCGCUUAUCCGCACAAGUGUGAUAUGUUGCAGAAGGUGAAUGCCGCAACCAAUAUGCUUUAAGUUUAAAAUAAAUAUGGCUCAUUUUCAUCAAUUAAAAUUUUACUUACAGAUGAAUUCGCAAAAUUUAAUUUAUCUCAUUAUAUAUUUAGAAAGGUUGAAAACACGAUAUUUUCUAAUUGAUUAUACAGAGAGUGGGACUACUCCAUCAUCCACAUUAACGAAUUUUUCAGCAAGAACUGAAUUCCAAAAAUUGUAGGAGAUGCAAAAUUUUAAAUAAGAAAGUAUCAGACUAGAACAUACCGCAUGCGCCAAGGAUACCAUUGUAACAUGAAAGGUUACUUUUAGAGAUCAACGUCGUUGGAUCAACCAUCCAAUUAUACGAAAUUUAAAUAAUAGUUUGAAAUCAUUGUUAAAUUAAUAUACAAAAGCCUCAAACAUAGCAGUAAUAUUUCAAAAAAGACUGUCGGACGUAGGUCUUGAUUUGCAUAGCCUACAUCCUGCCGGCAAUAUUGAAGAUGGAUCAAUGUUUCUUGGCGGAGCGCAUUCAUCUGUGGAUUGCAUGAAGGUAUCAGUGUCUCUUACUAAUCCUACAUCCAAAUAAUUCUGCCUAAACGGGCGAUGGAAACGUUUACCGUGAAAGCUGAUUGAAACUUAGGCGUGGCCCCACCUGGAUGAAACUUUCCUACAGUACAUCAUUUCCUGACGUUUGCGCGCGUUUCAAGAGGAAGAGACACGCAAUAGUCAACGUUAAUGAAUUACAAUUCACUUAAAUGCGUUUAA